GCCUUCUUGGUGUAACGGUAGCACACUCGACAUGUAUUCGAGAGAUCCAGGUUCGAGUCCCAGCGGGGGCC
rnacentral:tRNA from 1 species